AGAGUUUGAUCCUGGCUCAGGAUGAACGCUGGCGGCGUGCCUAAUACAUGCAAGUCGAGCGAACAGACAAGGAGCUUGCUCCUUUGACGUUAGCGGCGGACGGGUGAGUAACACGUGGGUAACCUACCUAUAAGACUGGGAUAACUUCGGGAAACCGGAGCUAAUACCGGAUAAUAUUUCGAACCGCAUGGUUCGAUAGUGAAAGAUGGUUUUGCUAUCACUUAUAGAUGGACCCGCGCCGUAUUAGCUAGUUGGUAAGGUAACGGCUUACCAAGGCGACGAUACGUAGCCGACCUGAGAGGGUGAUCGGCCACACUGGAACUGAGACACGGUCCAGACUCCUACGGGAGGCAGCAGUAGGGAAUCUUCCGCAAUGGGCGAAAGCCUGACGGAGCAACGCCGCGUGAGUGAUGAAGGUCUUCGGAUCGUAAAACUCUGUUAUUAGGGAAGAACAUACGUGUAAGUAACUAUGCACGUCUUGACGGUACCUAAUCAGAAAGCCACGGCUAACUACGUGCCAGCAGCCGCGGUAAUACGUAGGUGGCAAGCGUUAUCCGGAAUUAUUGGGCGUAAAGCGCGCGUAGGCGGUUUUUUAAGUCUGAUGUGAAAGCCCACGGCUCAACCGUGGAGGGUCAUUGGAAACUGGAAAACUUGAGUGCAGAAGAGGAAAGUGGAAUUCCAUGUGUAGCGGUGAAAUGCGCAGAGAUAUGGAGGAACACCAGUGGCGAAGGCGACUUUCUGGUCUGUAACUGACGCUGAUGUGCGAAAGCGUGGGGAUCAAACAGGAUUAGAUACCCUGGUAGUCCACGCCGUAAACGAUGAGUGCUAAGUGUUAGGGGGUUUCCGCCCCUUAGUGCUGCAGCUAACGCAUUAAGCACUCCGCCUGGGGAGUACGACCGCAAGGUUGAAACUCAAAGGAAUUGACGGGGACCCGCACAAGCGGUGGAGCAUGUGGUUUAAUUCGAAGCAACGCGAAGAACCUUACCAAAUCUUGACAUCCUUUGACAACUCUAGAGAUAGAGCCUUCCCCUUCGGGGGACAAAGUGACAGGUGGUGCAUGGUUGUCGUCAGCUCGUGUCGUGAGAUGUUGGGUUAAGUCCCGCAACGAGCGCAACCCUUAAGCUUAGUUGCCAUCAUUAAGUUGGGCACUCUAAGUUGACUGCCGGUGACAAACCGGAGGAAGGUGGGGAUGACGUCAAAUCAUCAUGCCCCUUAUGAUUUGGGCUACACACGUGCUACAAUGGACAAUACAAAGGGCAGCGAAACCGCGAGGUCAAGCAAAUCCCAUAAAGUUGUUCUCAGUUCGGAUUGUAGUCUGCAACUCGACUACAUGAAGCUGGAAUCGCUAGUAAUCGUAGAUCAGCAUGCUACGGUGAAUACGUUCCCGGGUCUUGUACACACCGCCCGUCACACCACGAGAGUUUGUAACACCCGAAGCCGGUGGAGUAACCAUUUGGAGCUAGCCGUCGAAGGUGGGACAAAUGAUUGGGGUGAAGUCGUANAUUUG
rnacentral:rRNA from 1 species